CUGCACUAGAUCCUUGCAGCGUUGGCCUCUGGGCCCCCUCCCGCUUAGUUCCCGGAUAAAAGCAGCCCGGCCGCACCUGCCUUGCCAGUGCAAACUCUGCAAGACUCCCAACGCCAUCAGCCCUAGUCUGAUUGCAGUCGCCUGUUCACAGCCCCGAAUCAUUCACAGCGCCAAUUAGCCCGGGCUGGGUCCUCCGGCAGAGCGGGGGCGAGCGCGCGGGAGUCCAUUUCCAGCGCCCUGACGCCAGCUGAGUCCCGCGCCCGGUAACGCGGGCUUUCAAGGGCAAGGCCGCCGCCGCGUCCCUCCGUGUCAGCGCAUUUCCCUUUCUUCCCCGCUUCAAGAACAACUGAAGUGUGGGGGCUUUUGAAAUUAUUGAGUUGACACAUCUGUCAGACGGCAAAAGCAGAAAUGCUAAAAGGUCACUUGGAGAGAAACCAGCUGCUCCAGACAAACCUUUCUGCCUCCAAAUAGCACAAUCAUUACAGCCUGGCAGAUGGGGCCUUCGCUUUCACUUCAGACGCUCCCCUUGCCUUCAGGAAACCAGUUUCCUCACGGAUAUGAGCUACCCAACGCUUGCCACAAACUUUCCUGUUAACAGAUUCGUUUUGACAGUGCAUGUCCCAGCAAAGCUUCGCAAAGAUGUCAGUAUUAAUUGUCACCAUCCUCCAGGGAGAAAGCAACAGCCCACAAUUGCCUGCAUUUUCUUUCCUCUUCAAAACCACUUCUGCUCCAAAGACCAUGAACCUGAACUGAAGAAACGACUCCUUCCUGCUGGUGUGAGAUAAUUCAGUCUCCAUGAUGUCUUAAUCCUGGGCCUCCCUUAAUUGACUUCUAACUGUGCUGAACUGUGGCUGCUAGGAGUUGCAAUGUGGAUCGCAAUUUACAAGGAAGAGAAAAAGACCGGUCUCUGUUUGGAAAUUACAAACAUAGAAGAACUUAGAAACAAUGGGUUUCUAGAUUGGGUGGAAGGACUGGCUUGGGAUCCUGAGAGAGCAAGAAAAGUUUACCGGGAGCUUCAGAAAAAGUUAUUCAUCAUUUUUGGAGUGGAUAUUCAGAAGUGACUUCCCUCUUUUGCUCUGGUAGGUAUGGAUAUGAGACCUCAGAAACCCCAGAACUCCUCAUUCUUUGCCUGACAGAAAAGCCCACACAUGGGAAAGACAGCCAUAAAGAUCAAAAGUAGAGCCCCUGGACUAAAUUAAGAAAGCAACUUGCUCAACCUUUCCACAUCUAGUUCCGUGAGCAAUCCAUUUCCUCAUGUCCAAAACAGCUUGACUGGGGGUUUCGGUUACUUACAGCCCAAAGCACACCAACUGGUAUGGUCAUCAGAAUUUAAGGCUUUUAAGUACUUAAAAUUCUGAUUUUAAGGA
rnacentral:lncRNA from 10 species